UAGAGUUUGAUCCUGGCUCAGAUCCCUCGCUGGCGGCAGGCCUAACACAUGCAAGUCGAGCGGCAGCGGGGAAGUAGCUUGCUACUUUUGCCGGCGAGCGGCGGACGGGUGAGUAAUGCCUGGGAAAUUGCCCAGUCGAGGGGGAUAACAGUUGGAAACGACUGCUAAUACCGCAUACGCCCUACGGGGGAAAGCAGGGGACCUUCGGGCCUUGCGCGAUUGGAUAUGCCCAGGUGGGAUUAGCUAGUUGGUGAGGUAAUGGCUCACCAAGGCGACGAUCCCUAGCUGGUCUGAGAGGAUGAUCAGCCACACUGGAACUGAGACACGGUCCAGACUCCUACGGGAGGCAGCAGUGGGGAAUAUUGCACAAUCGGGGAAACCCUGAUGCAGCCAUGCCGCGUGUGUGAAGAAGGCCUUCGGGUUGUAAAGCACUUUCAGCGAGGAGGAAAGGUUGUUGGCUAAUAUCCAACAGCUGUGACGUUACUCGCAGAAGAAGCUCCGGUUAAUUCCGUCCCACCAGCCGCGGUAAUACGGAGGGCGCAAGCGUUAAUCGGAAUUACUGGGCGUAAAGCGCACGCAGGCGGUUGGAUAAUUUAGAUGUGAAAGCCCCGGGUUCAACCUGGGAAUUCGCAUUUAAAACUGUCCAGCUAGAGUCUUGUAGAGGGGGGUAGAAUUCCAGGUGUAGCGGUGAAAUGCGUAGAGAUCUGGAGGAAUACCGGUGGCGAAGGCGUCCCCCUGGACAAAGACUGCCGCUCAGGUGCGAAAGCGUGGGGAGCAAACAG
rnacentral:rRNA from 1 species